rnacentral:rRNA from 1 species
AGCGAACGCUGGCGGCAGGCCUAACACAUGCAAGUCGAACGAACUCUUCGGAGUUAGUGGCGGACGGGUGAGUAACACGUGGGAACGUGCCUUUUGGUUCGGAAUAACUCAGGGAAACUUGUGCUAAUACCGAAUGUGCCCUUCGGGGGAAAGAUUUAUCGCCAUUAGAGCGGCCCGCGUCUGAUUAGCUAGUUGGUGAGGUAACGGCUCACCAAGGCGACGAUCAGUAGCUGGUCUGAGAGGAUGACCAGCCACACUGGGACUGAGACACGGCCCAGACUCCUACGGGAGGCAGCAGUGGGGAAUCUUGCGCAAUGGGCGAAAGCCUGACGCAGCCAUGCCGCGUGAAUGAUGAAGGUCUUAGGAUUGUAAAAUUCUUUCACCGGGGACGAUAAUGACGGUACCCGGAGAAGAAGCCCCGGUUAACUUCGUG